AGCUUUGUCCACGGCUUUUAGAAGACGUGGAUCACUGACAUCGAAGGCGGCAUCAUCGAUUCCAUCAAACAUUUCACUGUCAUCGCUGAGGACGCUUCCAGAGGAGGUCAGUCGUUCGCGAGGCGAGGAUCGGGAGUUCAUCAUCGGGAAGUUUCCUGGAAAUGGAUAGAAAUUAUUGCAGUUGCUUUUGGGGAAUCCGCAUCUAUAGAUGUCAACUGGUUCUAAACCACCGCAAACAGUGGUACAUUGGACUAAAGAAUGAGUCACCUGCUGUAACUUUUGGACGUCUACCAAAGCAUAAAAAAAAAACAUCUCCAAAGUUGACGUUUGGAACCUCUUCCAAAAACUCAGAUCAGGAUAAAAAAGGACUUUGUUAUAAUGUGAUUUUGUUCUUCUCAGGUAAGUUUACUUUAUUCCCGUUUUAAGUUGCAAAUUAGACAAAGUCUCCUAAUUGUAAUCCAAUUCAUAAUACCUUUUAAGCCUUUUCAUAAACUUUCAAAAGGUUUGGUGGUAAGCCUCACAAUGAAUGAAAACCAAUUUAGACGUUAUUAUUGUUAAUUUGUUCAAAGAUCUCCUUCUUGUUUAGCUCAUUGAUCUGGAAGCAUUAUCUUAUUACAAUAUUUAAUAAGCAAUCUCUCUUGACCGCAAAUGAGUCAGCUGGUGUAUUAGGUGGUACACUACGUCUAGUCUAUAAGCAAAGCGGCCCUUUGUUGGAGCUUUCAAAAGCCUUUUCGACCUAUAUCACUAAGUUGUAUCUAUGUAGUAAGAAAAGUCACGCACCCCAUAAAGCAAAGUGCAGCCAAGAAAAACUAGGCCGUGUCUUCCCACUGUGUAUUUAAACUUAUCAUCAGAGAUUUAAAGAGACAAAAUAAUAAUUUUCACAAUUGACAGUCAGACAUGCGAGUCCAGAAAUUGACGUGUUGUCUGAUUGAGAAGAUAAGACAAAACACGGAAGACGACAAAGCAGCGCGCGUGGAGUAAAUGACAAAGGAAAAAUUAAUCUAUAUACAGUUUCCCAUUUCCAUAGUGUCUAAAACUUAACAUCUAUUUUUCUGUUAGAACAACAAAUAAAAGUUUUAAACGGCUACAGGUAAAAUUUCACCUGUUGCACCACUAUAACGUCAUGGGGACUUUAUCUUAUAAUGAAGUUUUCGCGGGCUAAAACUCUACAAAAAUUAUGGAUAACUUUGAUGUAAGAACCAUAAAGCUGUCAAAUUUCACACGGCUACAGCGCGGUGUCAUCCUUCUUCCACGCUCAUGACAGAUACAGAUAUUGCACAAGCUCGUAGAGAUUACCGACUGCCUGUCACUGCCCUUCAGGCCAGCGCCAAGUGUUCUGCAUAACGUUGCAAAGAACCUGUCAUUGACGCUAAUACACAUUAAAUGUACAGAUCAUCUCUUAAUUUAGCACGUUUUUAAUUGUUCCUCUAUUUUCUUUAUUAUCUUUAAUAAUUCCACUAAAUUUUCAUUUUUUUUUUCAUUUAAGAAAAAUAGGUAACGUUCGUUUUAUAAACUGCGGUUAUAUAAAGUUAAAUGACCAUUUUAAUUCGGUACUUUCAUGUUAGGAGGUUUAAUAGAUGAGACUGCAAGCGAAAUUGAAAUUAACUAGUAAUAGAAGGGUCAUUAACACCACGGUCCCUUUAUUAUUAUUACUCGUUCAUUUACUACUACUACUACAUGUAACGACUACUACUACUACUACUACUACUCAUGUCCCACUUCCGAAACAGAAACUAUCGUGUAUAUAGAUAGGAUAUAUAGGUAAACCGUAUUUUAAACGCACAGGUAAUUUUCAACGGAGAAUAUUUUUUUCCUGAAUAAGAUUAAUUUCGUGCACAGAUUAUUCGAAGAAAGAUUUUUUUUUUACAAGACGUUAAGUUUCUCAAUACAGUUUUGGACGAAGAAAAAAACAAACAUUCAGUGUUCAAUUAAAAUCUUUUAAAAUUACACAAAGUUAAAGAAGAAACCAGAGUACCUGCCAUGAAAACAAUGAAAUUUUUAUUAUCAACAUAUUAAUAAAUUAUAAUAUAAGAAUAUCUAAUAGGGUGUAUUCUAUGUAAAAUGGGAAUUUCAAAAUAUACCAUGAUCUUUUUACAUUGAAUAAUACAAUUUUUAUUCGUAAAAACGUUCAUCAAGAAGAAUGUUUUCUACCGAGAAAAAAAAAAUCAACACUAAUAUUGAUAUUGAAUUUUUUAAAUACAAUGUUAUGCAUUCAGUAAGACACAUGUAUUUCAUAUCAGAUGAAAAUUUCAUUAAAUUUUACUAACAACCUUGCUCGGAUGACAUUUGAAACAAUGUUAAAGUGGCAUAACAAAACACUUUCUUCAAGCUGAGCAACAUUUUGUACUUUCCAAAACCUGCAGGAAUUUGAAGCUCCCGAUCAUUUCUUCCCACUGUACUGCAGUAACGCACUUCAGUUCAAACACGUGCUUAUGAUACACGGAUAAAAAAGAAGAAAAUAUCAAGCAAUACAGAUGUUACAGAUACCUACCAUCCAAGUUAGAAAUGAAGGUCCAACAAUCUAUUAAAGUGCACUAAGAUGUUUCAUUUUGUGUCCCUUUUAGAUGGGUCAGAGUGUCAGACAACUCGUAACGUCCAAAUGACACAAAAACACAUAUUAUCUAGAACAUAUUACGAGAAGAACACGUGACAGUGUUUGGGGAAGUACCUGUUCUAAUAUUUAAUUUUAUCACCACUUUCUGAUUUGCAUUACGCGCCACAUCAUUUAUUGCGCAGUUUUUAUUACGUGCAGAUAAGUCUCUGACAUUUCGACACAGACAAACCACGUGCAUGUACAUAUAAUACACACAAGAGAGGGUUUCUUGAAAGAGGUCUUUUAAACUAUUAUUGGGAUAAUUAAACUUUACCUUGUCAUGGAAGUACUUUUUGGGCGCUUCAGUAGUUUGUAGGCCUGCCCCACUGGCUCGUGCACUUUGAUGUAAACAAUGAUCUGAGUGCGCAGCUACUCAACAUUUUUACUACACAUCAGCUGUGUGUAUUUUUUUUUUUUUUUUUCAAGUACUGGCUUGCGAAUGAUCUGCAUGAUGACACGAGAAAGGGGCGGGAUUACUUUCUUGCGAUUGGAUGAUUAAGUUGUACAAUAAACCCCAACUUUUAAAAAUAUCCCACAACCUUAUCAAAAGUUACUUGAAAUACACCUUCCAAUACAGUUCAAUAGCUAUCAAUUAGACAUGGAACCUUGGAGACAAUAUACACUUUAAAUUCAAGGCCAAAAUAUUGCACCAGCAACCAAAAUAGGUUGCCCUCAAAGGGGAUUUCCAGAUCUUUCAUAAUAUAUAAACAAGGUUAUAUUUAGGUCAGGUUCUGUUAUUAGGACGCUCGUAUGGUCCACUAACACCAUAGGUGUUACUGUCCUAUGUAGACAGGUAGAAAGUGAGUUCACGACGACUUUGGGGACAUCUUUCUAGGGGGCAUUUAUAUCUUCGUCAAGUCUGUCUACUCUCGAUAGAAAUCAGGCGUGAAGAACAAAACACACUGACGUAUAUAAACGUGGGUUAUUAGCAUAUUCAUUUGCAUGCGCAUUAAACGUGUAAACUUAUUUCUCCACGUCGAGGUCAAUUAUCUAUAAAUAAAGCCUCUUCUCUGUUGUUGCUUGGACGUCAAAACAAGAUAUACUACAGUACAUACACACAGCGAAGCGCUUGUUUAAAUUUCUUUCAUUUUCUCCCCAGACACCUGAUAAAUUUCUCGUUUAUUUUCAUGAUAAAAGGGUAUUAGUGAUGGUUCGGACAUCACUGGGGUAUUAUAUGUAAAAUCACCAUGGUUACAGACGGAAGCAAAUGCAUGAAUCAUUGUGUAUAUUUCACAUGACGACUGGGCUCAGUCUCUUUGUGGAGUUUCUAUUCUUAUCCUGCCACGCACCUGCAAUUUGAUGUUGUUGGUUUGUUACGAGUGACAUAUAUUUACAACUCAUCAACAAUGUUUACUCAAGCAUGAAGUUCAGAGAGUUUGUUGGUCUCGAUUACUAACCUACUAGAGAAUAUCGAACGGUUUAUACACAAUAUUAUGAGUCAGAGAGCGCAGCGCACGGCGAAUCUAAUCUAUUGGAAACAAAUAAUUAACAUCUCUUUUUAGUUUCAAACACAAAAGAAGGAAGUUGUGUGAUGGUUUCAAUCGUAUAAACACAAUCGUGAAUAUAGCAGAUGCUAUAUAUAUAUAUAUAUAUAUAUAUAUAUAUAUAUAUAUAUAUAUAUUGGUUCCAUAUCUGUUUGGCGUAUAUAUAAUGAAUUAUAUUUUGUAGAAAUAUAUAUAUAUAUAUAUAUUAUACAUGUAUAUUGGUUCCAUAUCCUGAAGAUAUCUAUUUAUCUUACGUAUUAUAACCAGUAACGAUGUGUUACUGCAGAGAAACCACAGGAGGGAGGGCUUUAGGAGACAAUUUAGGUCAUACAUAGAGAUGUAGGUACAUUUCAAAUUAAAAAAAUUUACUUACAUUUAUACGACAGAUCCUUAUAAUUUGCAACACGACCAUGAACAAGAUACCGAUUUAAAAAGAUAACAGGAUUAAAAUAAUCAGAGCUACAUAAUUCAUCGAGUUUCCUAAGUUCGGACUCCCGGGUUACUUGUUUGGCCAUUUAAAAAAUGAUCAAAUUUGUAGAAAUAUUGUAUGCACAUCGAAAAAGAAGUAACCAUUUUCAUUUGAAUUUAACGUUACUAAUGGUGUUGGUAGUCUAGCUUAUACUAAACCUAAUUUUUCAAUUUUGAAUAAUUCAUCAAUCAAAAUUUUAAUGUAAACUGAAAAUAAGUUCGAAUUUAUUUUUAAAAGGCAACACAACUGAAUGCGAAUUUUGAAUUCUUUCUUUCUUAAUGAUGUGAUUUCUUGUAAGGAUAUGGUAUACAUAUAGUUACCUAAACGAUGAAGAAUAAGCUUUCCUAUUAAUAAUUGAUAAUAUAUAUGUAAAACAAUCAUUAUCAAACUAGACAAUACAUGAAUGCACUAAAUCUGUGAAGAGCGCUUGAAUUUACUAAGGAAGAAUCAAUUUUUACCUUAAUGUUUCUGAUAAGAUUGUUUCUAUCCAGCAUUGAGCAUUGUCCCUCCAAAGCGUUGACCUUGCGAAGAACAAAUGACGCAAUAGAAAUUUUCCCGCCUAAGUUACAUUCCUUGCGGUUUUUUAUUUUUGGUUCUGAUAAUUGUGUUAUUAGAUGAAAUAUUUUGAUACACAACAUGUAUAUAUAUAUAUAUAUAUAUAUAUAUAUAUAUAUAUAUAUAUAUAUAUAUAUUGCUGACUAGUAUAACUCAUGCAAUCACCAUCUACCGAUUGAAAGUAGACGUUGGAGAAUCUGUGCCUCCUGAAUUUUACAAGAGAUUGAAAAUGAAUUUCAUUAUGUACUCAAACAAAGAUUGAAAUAUUUAUCACCUAAACAAAUAAGAAUUAAAAAUAUCUUUACUUUUAAACAAAUCAAGUCUAACUACAAAUACUGUUUUUUGAGAAAACUCUGUACUUUCAUUAAAAAAUAAAUAAAAUGUACUCCCCUACUUGAAUGCCCAUACUUCAAUUUAAUAAUAACACGAUUUUUUAAGUUGAUAAGUACUCUAUUUCAUGCAUAUAUUAUUUGCUAAUGUGUAUGUAACAACUCUUGUUUCCGUUCUCUGUAUGCCAUUGUAUAAUGGUGAUGAGAUUCAAUAAAUUGAAUUGAAUUGAAUUGAGAUAAGAUUUUUUUUCUAUCCAGCAUUGAGCAUUGUCCCUCCAAAGUGUUGACCUUGCGAAGAACCAUAGACGUCUAUGGAAGAACAAGUGACGUAAUAGAAAAUUUCCCGCCUUUACAUUCCUUGCACUUCUGAUAAUUGUGUUAUUUAAAUGAAAUAUUUUGAUAUGUUUUGCAAAGCAAGUUACGUCACUCUAUUGAAUGGUAUAUUUUAUAUGGAAUAAUUUUGUUAGCUUGAAUGUACUGUAGUUUAUAUAUAUAAAUGCGUAGUACAAUCUUGUAGGCCUACAUAAAGGAAAUAUACUUAAGCACAAAUAUAACUAUAUCAUGUAAGUAUUCACUUCUUAAACUGUAGAAGAAUGGUAUAUGCUUAGAUUAAUAACUAUGAUUAAUUACUAUUUUAAGAAUAUAUAACAGGGGUUUGAAGAAUAAAUAUAUUAACAAUAUUUCAUUCGCUAUCUCAUGUAAAAAAAAUCUUACAAAAAUAUAGUUUGACCUGAAGCCAUUUACGGUUCCAUGGGGGCGGGGGGGGGGGGGGCGGAGUUUGGAUCCAUCCCCCUUCCUCUGGAACAUCUACGGUAUGUAUUUUUUUAAAACAAUAUGCAAUUAUAACAUUAUCAUGUAAUUAUUUUUUCAUCUACAAGUUAAAUAUGACAAGUCUCAUAUUAACUAGCACUGAAUGAUACACGUAUUUAUUUUUAUCAAUUCAUUGGAUAUGAUCUGAUGCAGUUUCUAGAUCAUCUCUCUGGAACCCUCUUUUCCAAACCGCCGGAUCCGCCACAGGAAACUAUGUGGAAAUUGUGAUGAUAACGAACAGUGGUCGAUCUCAUAACUCCUUUAAGCAAUACAAAAUAGAGAGUUGGGCAAACACGGACCCUGGAUAUACCAGAGGUGGGAUCAGACAAACACGGACCCUGGAUAUACCAGAGGUGGGAUCGGGUGCCCAGGAGAAGCUUAUGUAUACUUAUUGUAGUUAUACAUCACAAUAUGCAUGACAAUUCUUUGUAUACUAAUAUAGUUUUUCCUAAAGAAAAAAAUGACAGAAUAGUUACUAAAAGGUACAGAGUUAUAUAUACUUUCUGUGUGAUAAAACUGCAUUUUCUAGAACUUCUAUCUUUUACUAUAAAAGGUCAUUAUUAUUACAAAUUAUUCUUGAAUUUUGUACUAUCGAAACGGUCUGAAAUAUUAAAGAUAAAAGUGUGUAACAUUUCGUAUGUACGAUUCUUUACAAUCUUCUGCUACAUAAUGGCGAUGUUAACACCAUGAUUCCUAUCAUUACAGUAAAGUCUUUAAAAUCUGUCGAUAUACUCUAUUACUCACCACAUAACAUUACUUCAGUAAAGUGAGCUCUUCUCAAUGAAAAAAUAUCUUGCCAACAAAUAUCAUUUCACAUUGGGCUUGUUAUCUUCUCAUCAUAAUUAGAUAGUUAUAGGGUGAUCCACGGAAUUAUCAGGCUCUGUAUUUUUGUCGGAUUUUGGAACACAUUCAAAUCGUGUCAAACAUUCUUACGUGUCAUAAAAAACAGGAAAUCUUUGUUACCAUUUCUCGGUCAUUAAUCAGUCUGAUCUCUGAUUUAAAAGGUGCACUUUCUAUAAUUUUGUAAACAUAUAUAUUUUUACCGAUACACGCGACGGGAUGAAAUUAAUUAUUCAUAAUCCAUUGUGGCCUAGUAUAAAAAAGCGUCGGCUUAUGAAUAAAAAAAUCGUUUGUCAUACUUUAAUUCAAACCUCUAUUUAUAAGCUUUUAUAUUUUUUUCAUCCGCGGGAAGAUUUAUUCACCACUUCAAGGUGAUGUAUCUUAUACUAACGAAACUGUUUCAUACAACUUCCAUUCGUUAGUUAUAUAUAUAUAUAUAUAUAGAGAGAGAGAGAGAGAGAGAGAGAGAGAGAGAGAGAGAGAGAGAGAUUAUACAACUAUGUAAUAGCAUAAGGGUUAUUGAAAAUAGAUUCUUGAAAAUAUUGCAAGGAUUAAAAAGACAGAACGAUUUGUUUAUGUUAAUUAUUAUGUAUCGGUCGUGGCGAGGAGGCGAGAAUUCUUCACUCAUAGGAUGAAAAAAAAAUUGCUAUAGUGUCAAAAAACCUGUAUCACAAGUAUAUGUACUCUAUUGACGGAAUACAAAAAAGUAGGGGGAAGUUAACAUUUUAUUUACGUUGCUCGUGUGCCCAUAUUCCUACAGAAAAUAUGUCAUACGCUCACUUUCUUUGAUCAAGAUCUUGUUUUGUUGUUGUUAUUUUUUUUUUAACUUCUAAUAGUAUGAUGAAAGAGAUCGAAACCAGACCUCCAAAAUAAUUAUCUAUGUAAUUAACAUUUACUUCUCAAUUCAAUUCAAUUCUUUAUUGUCCUUGAGUUAUACAACUUCUCAAUUACCACCAUCUAACCAUUCUACACCUAAUGAAAAAGACACUCGUGAAUGCUUCGUAACAAACACGUGUUUCUGAUGCAUUAUGGGCUUUCAUUCAUGUUGUUUGUUAACUGAAACAUAUAGGAUAUAUAUGGAUGAAUAUUGAAAAGUCACAGUGACACAUCAAAAUGUUGCAUUAAAGCUCAUGGGUAUUGUCUUUGCCAGUUUAUAUGUGCAGAUGCACACAUUGAUGAUUUAGCAGUCUAAUCGAUGUUUCUAGAGAAUAUAUUAUCUGACAAUGAAAUGUCAAAUUUAUUUUUAUCAUUAUGGAGUUAAAAUUUCCACUUCCUAAUCUGUCAUUCAAUGGGCAUAUUUCAACACUUAACAUCCCAUGUUCUUAACACUCAUGGACUCGGAUAUUGUCGCGAGUACGCGACUUCAGCUCCUCUAUUGUCGAGCAUACGACGAAGAGUAAGCCCCUCAUCAAGUAAAUUCAGGUCACAAAAAUGCAACUCUAUCUUCAUAUCUUACACAAAACUGUCAGAUCGAGAUUCUCACAACCUUACCUCUUGACGAGGCAACAAAUAAUAGCUGUAUAAUUUUCUUUAUUAUAUGAUUGAAUAAUUUUGAGCUUUCUGAUUGGCUGCGAUCCAACAAAAUAAAAAAAGAACAUUAUGUAUAACGACGCUUGAUGCAAAAAAAAUAAAAAUGGAUACCUGGGUUGAUAUAUAUUUUUUUUGGUUUGUUUGUAAUAAACACUAAUAUGAAAUUCCUAAAAAGAAAAGAAGAAAGGGGAAAAAAGAAAAAAGUAAAUUUCCUAUGAUGUUUAAAAGUUGAAAUACAUAUAUUACCUCUCCCCAUAUAACUCUAUUUAAAUUUUCUACUUUGUUUUGCGACUUAAUCGAAAAAUCAUGGUAAAUUGUAUUCAUUUCACUUACAACAACCUUUGUUCAGAUUUCAUUUUUUGAAAAAAAGUUUGUUUGUAAAUAUUCAUAUCUAGGGAUGAUUUGUAAAGUCUAUAUAAAGAUUUCAAUAAUAUAUUCGACAAAUUUUGUAAUGCAUUGUGAAUGAGAUUAUGAUAUACAGUGUGCUUAUAUGUUUUCUUGUUAUCAAGACAUGCGCCCAAAUGUCUUGAACAUUGUAAGGGCAAAUCGAAAUAUGAUUAAACUAUAUAAAAAAUA